GACGAACGCUGGCGGCGUGCUUAACACAUGCAAGUCGAACGGAAAGGCCCUGCUUUUGUGGGGUGCUCGAGUGGCGAACGGGUGAGUAACACGUGAGUAACCUGCCCUUUACUUUGGGAUAACUUCAGGAAACUGGGGCUAAUACCGGAUAGGAGCUCCUGCUUCAUGGUGGGGGUUGGAAAGUUUCGGCGGUUGGGGAUGGACUCGCGGCUUAUCAGCUUGUUGGUGGGGUAGUGGCUUACCAAGGCUUUGACGGGUAGCCGGCCUGAGAGGGUGACCGGCCACAUUGGGACUGAGAUACGGCCCAGACUCCUACGGGAGGCAGCAGUGGGGAAUAUUGCACAAUGGGCGGAAGCCUGAUGCAGCAACGCCGCGUGCGGGAUGACGGCCUUCGGGUUGUAAACCGCUUUCGCCUGUGACGAAGCGUGAGUGACGGUAAUGGGUAAAGAAGCACCGGCUAACUACGUG
rnacentral:rRNA from 1 species